UAAUGUCAAAUUUGGACGCGGUUCAUCUCAAAUAAUUCAAAAAAUAUUGAGCGGUCUUUUUUCACAAUUUAGUCGUCGUUAAUGUCUAGGUAAUUUUUUGGAAACCCUUUCGCCUCUUUUUUCUUAAGCAAAAUAAUUUGCACGUCUCUCUCUCCUAGAAUUUGAGAUCUGGUGAGGCUUUGAUUGCAAUAUCAAGGUCUGCAAAAAUCGUUGGAUAUGAAGGUGAAAGAAUACAUAAGGAAAUGGUGUUUUCUGAGGUAGGAUUUCAUGAAGUUCGAGCACUUGUGUUAUUGGUAUCGAAAGCAUGUUAGGAAUUGGUGGAUUUUGCAAAUUUUGGUUCUCGAAAUUGCCUUCUUCUGAGAUUUGGAGACUCAGCGAGUCAGUGAGGAUGGAACCCGCCAGAGCGAUAGCGGCACUAGCGUCGUGGUGGUGGUGACACGACUAGUUGGCACUUUCACUACAAGCAUCAACGUCGUCAAUAACUCAGAUUUUUACCUUAAUUGCAGUUGAAUCCGUUUGAUGAUUCCAAGAAUUUCGCAAAUCAUGAGAGGAGUUGGUUGGGUUUGAAGAUUUGUCAAGGCAAUUUACAGAAAAUCGAAGGAUUGGUCUAUUGUAUCUGUUAACCCUCAAAAGAUUGAGGAAACGGCAGAGUAAUUGUCAGACGCGGGGAGGAGGAGGACAAUUGGUUCAUUGAAGUGUUUUUCUAUUACGAAUUCAAGGUAAUUUAGGUUUUUUGUUACAAUUUUUAUGGUUGUUCAAUUUAUUAAUCUUUAAAAAAAUUGAGGAACUUAAAUGACCUCAAAGCCGAAAAUGAAAUACUAGAUAUUUAGUCUUGUAUGCUUGAUAUUGUUGGUGAUUCAUUAGUCAAAAAUCUAUCAAUAGAAAUGUCUUGCAGAAAGCAAAGGUGAUUGUGCAGGUUGAUGAUAUAUUUAUUCCAAUUGUGGCGAAUGGAACCUUAGAAAUUCAUCAGGUCCGCCACAUUGGCUGCUUCUUAUUAUAUUUGUAAGGAUGGAGUCUACUUGUGUACAUGCCUGGUUAUUGGGCGGGGCGGGGCGGGUCGGGGAGGGUCACUAGAGGGUCAUUUAAAUUUUUUAGUGGGUCGAGCUAGGGUCAGGGUCAGGGUCAAAAGCGGGUCAUUAGCAGGACAUCAAUGUCUCUGCGAAUUGCUAAGGAGUUGUCGAUCUAGAAGAAAAAAAGUAGGAUAGACAUGAUCAUACUUAUUCAUACAAUAAAUCUUCCAUUGAUAAGAAUAACUAACCAUGAAAUCAUCAAUCUUAAAAAAAUAAAACCUUGAAUACUUAAUCUGUACUAUGAACAAGAAAGCUUUCCAAAGAAAUUGAUGAGAUGUCAAGUUGUCGACCAAAACAGGCAUUAAUCAAUUGAUAAAACUGAAAUGAAUUACUUGUACUUGUUUUCCUGAAUUUCGAACUACCUAUAAAAAGUGAGAAUAAUUCAACAAAAAAACAGUGAGAAUAAACUGAUGUUUGUAAUUUUGUCAUCAAUUGAGAAUAAACUGAGUUUGUUUUGGGUGGGUAAAUUUGCAAUUGGCUGAUCUUUGCAAAGUUUUGGGUACUGUCAAAGGAAGAGCAAGCAAAGAGUCGGUAGUUCGAGGAGCUUAAUUAGAAUUUCUAAGCACGGAGGAGAGAGAAAAUGCAUAUACAGAGAAAAAAGUGAGAGUGGUCUUUGAUCUUCUGACCCUAUUGUUUGAGAUUUGGGCCUUCUACCACACAAAGCUAUAUUAAUGGGUUGUCAAUAAAGACCCUAUAAUGACCCUUUAUCAUUUGACCCUAUAAUGCCCUUGUCCAAUAUAAAAUAAAAGGGUCAAAGCCCUUUAAUAUUUGGCCCGACCCUUUUGCCAUUUAGAAAACCCUAUCAAUUUCCUCUAUGAGAAUCUGGUUAGCUAAUUUUCACCUAAUAGUUUAACAUUAUGCUCUCAGUCUCAUUAAGCUGUCCGAGCUUUCAAUAAGAUGCAAUCAAUUUAUUCUCACUUCAAAAUAACUUUUGUAUGUAUUUGUCGGUUUUUGCAGAAUCCUACGUUUUCUAAAUGAGCGAGCAUCUGCUCUCACACUUAUUACGAUAAUCAUACUAUUUCCUCCACCAGCUAUUCUCGACUUCCAAUUGUAUCUUCAUUCUCUGGUUAUCUUGUACUAUCUAAGUGUACAAGCAAUAGUAGCUGAGUAUAUCCUUCAUUCGUUCUUUCGAACCUGAUAGAUUUAUAAUAUUGCUACACAAACUGACAUGUUUGGUGAGUGGGGAAGUUAUGAGUGACAGAUUUAUAUUACUCCUACACAAACUGACAUAUUUCAUCCACAGCCUGAUCCUGCACAAGCUGAUGCUGCACUUUCCUCUAUAUUUUUUUUUCUUUUCUUCUGCUAAAUGCCAUGGUUGUACGUGUUGUAGGAGGAAAUUCAGAAAAUAAAGGCAGAAGAACCAAUAGCGUGAUACUGUACAAGAAGAAAACAAUGCACUUAAGAGCCACAUGAGUUCAGUUGAAGAUGAACUUAUAUCAUUUAAGGAAGUGUUACUACAACGGCUUAAGGCUCCAACAGAGGAGACUUCAACUAUUUAGAUUUUAUUUUGUUCUAUUAGAUUGAACAUGAGUUAUUUAUUUAUUAGUUUUUUAGAAUUUAAAGACAACGAGAUGUGAUUGUUGGGUUCACAUAACUUGAAGUUCUAUUGUCAAAUUUUUUUUGAUCAAUGAAAUUUUCAUUUGUUUUAA